GAUGAACGCUGGCGGCGUGCCUAAUACAUGCAAGUCGAGCGAACGGACGAGAAGCUUGCUUCUCUGAUGUUAGCGGCGGACGGGUGAGUAACACGUGGAUAACCUACCUAUAAGACUGGGAUAACUUCGGGAAACCGGAGCUAAUACCGGAUAAUAUUUUGAACCGCAUGGUUCAAAAGUGAAAGACGGUCUUGCUGUCACUUAUAGAUGGAUCCGCGCUGCAUUAGCUAGUUGGUAAGGUAACGGCUUACCAAGGCAACGAUGCAUAGCCGACCUGAGAGGGUGAUCGGCCACACUGGAACUGAGACACGGUCCAGACUCCUACGGGAGGCAGCAGUAGGGAAUCUUCCGCAAUGGGCGAAAGCCUGACGGAGCAACGCCGCGUGAGUGAUGAAGGUCUUCGGAUCGUAAAACUCUGUUAUUAGGGAAGAACAUAUGUGUAAGUAACUGUGCACAUCUUGACGGUACCGAAUCAGAAAGCCACGGCGAACUACGU
rnacentral:rRNA from 1 species